UUCGCGAGGAAAAGCAGGCGGCUUGGUGGCACGAGCAGACGGCGGCGGCGUUCUGGCCGGGCAGCUGGUUGUGGAACCCAGGGCCGUAGCCCGACAGCUCACGUUCUGCC
rnacentral:lncRNA from 1 species